rnacentral:rRNA from 1 species
UUUUUUGAGAGUUUGAUCCUGGCUCAGGACGAACGCUGGCGGCGUGCCUAACACAUGCAAGUCGAACGGAAGUAAGAGCUUCGGUUUUUACUUUAGUGGCGAACGGGUGAGUAACGCGUGAGGAACCUGCCUUUCAGUGGGGGACAACAGUUGGAAACGACUGCUAAUACCGCAUAAUGUUUCCGGUCUGCAUGGACUGGAAACCAAAGCUUUAUGUGCUGAAAGAUGGCCUCGCGUCUGAUUAGAUAGUUGGUGGGGUAACGGCCUACCAAGUCGACGAUCAGUAUUGGACAGCGGGGCAUCAAUUCCGUGGGAACACAGCCAUCCCGCUCCGCGGCAGCCAGCUUUU